CCACUUUUCACAAUGCCAUAGCAGAUGAAUGAUUAUCUCCUUGGUUCUGCGGCACAUGUAUCAGCAACUAAGCAUACAUUUUCCCUCCUCAAGUAAUUGAUUUUCAAAAUCGACCCUAGCUCAUGUGUCCAAACAUAAUAGAACCUUACAUACGGCGAACUGAUGCAAAUCUUCCUACAAGAGCCAGGUAAAAUUAACAAGUCCAUAUUCUAGUACCAAUCAUGAAAAUCAUAAAAAGUUCCUCAAGUGUUAAAAGACCAUACCAGAUGCUAUCAAACCACAGAAUCCACUAGGAAAUAACUACAUCAGCUAUAAUUAAUACUACGUCUCAAACUUUAUGCAUCAUCAGAAAAAGAGUAGCAUGUUCUCUCUGUUUAGCUAAUUACAUCAUCAACAUUUGGCUUCAGCAUCACACAUUAUCCAUGAGAGCCAAACACCAAUGUCAAAAUCAUCAAGUUGACCUGUCACAAGCAUUCAGAAAACUAAUAGAAGGCAUUAUAAGGGAC
rnacentral:lncRNA from 1 species